UGGGGAAUUGUUCGCAAUGGGCGCAAGCCUGACGACGCAACGCCGCGUGGAGGAUGAAGGUCUUCGGAUUGUAAACUCCUGUUGCUCGGGACGAAAAGCUUCGACCUAAUACGUCGAAGUCUGACGGUACCGAGUGAGGAAGCCCCGGCUAACUCCGUGCCAGCAGCCGCGGUAAUACGGAGGGGGCUAGCGUUGUUCGGAAUUACUGGGCGUAAAGCGCACGUAGGCGGCGAUUUAAGUCAGAGGUGAAAGCCCGGGGCUCAACCCCGGAAUAGCCUUUGAGACUGGAUUGCUUGAAUCUUGGAGAGGCGGGUGGAAUUCCGAGUGUAGAGGUGAAAUUCGUAGAUAUUCGGAAGAACACCAGUGGCGAAGGCGGCCCGCUGGACAAGUAUUGACGCUGAGGUGCGAAAGCGUGGGGAGCAAA
rnacentral:rRNA from 1 species